GACGAACGCUGGCGGCGUGCUUAACACAUGCAAGUCGAACGAAGUGGCGAACGGGUGAGUAACGCGUAAUCAACCUGCCCCUUGCUGGAGGACAACAGUUAGAAAUGACUGCUAAUACUCCAUAGCAAGGGAUGAGACUAUAUCGUAUCAGCUAGUCGGUGGGGUAACGGCCUACCGAGGCUAUGACGCGUAACUGGUCUGAGAGGAUGAUCAGUCACAUUGGAACUGAGACACGGUCCAAACUCCUACGGGAGGCAGCAGUAGGGAAUAUUGCGCAAUGGGGGAAACCCUGACGCAGCAACGCCGCGUGGAGGAUGACACUUUUCGGAGCGUAAACUCCUUUUGUUAGGGAAGCGGUACCGGAAUAGAAAGCCACGGCUAACUACGUGCCAGCAGCCGCGGUAAUAC
rnacentral:rRNA from 1 species